rnacentral:rRNA from 1 species
UACGUAGGGUGCGAGCGUUAAUCGGAAUUACUGGGCGUAAAGCGUGCGCAGGCGGUUUUGCAAGUCAGAUGUGAAAGCCCCGGGCUCAACCUGGGAAUUGCAUUUGAAACUACAAGGCUAGAGUGUGUCAGAGGGGGGUAGAAUUCCACGUGUAGCAGUGAAAUGCGUAGAGAUGUGGAGGAAUACCGAUGGCGAAGGCAGCCCCCUGGGAUAACACUGACGCUGAGGCGCGAAAGCGUGGGGAGCAAACAGG